ensembl:lncRNA
CCCGGGGAGCUUUCUUACAUAAAGCGCACAUCUGUGUGUUGGAACAGCCGCCCACGUGCCUGCUAUAGCACAGACGUAGUUUGGGUUUUUAACGUGGCACUGACUUCCUGAAAGGUUCGGAAAUGCCCGAAGCGGUGACUGCACUGGAGGGACCGACACGGCUCCCAGGUGCUGCAGCCCGGCUCCCACGGCGCUGUCGGCGCUGAGUGCCCGCCCAGCCGCGCAGCCACUCAGGAGACACCAAAGUGACGGCUGCAGCGCUCAGCUCUGGAAGUUAUUUUGCUUCCAGUAGGACGUAUGACUGCAAUGGCUCUUCUCUCCCCGCACUGACGUGUGCGGGCCACGGAGCUGCAUGCGGACCCUGACCGAGCUGCUCACGCGGUGCAUUUGGCCACCAAGCUGGGUUCCCAGGCAGCCUGGGGACGGAGCCGGCAGCCAAUGAGAACCCCACAGCUCGUGUCCCAGCCCGGCUGCCUGCUGCCCCGCGUUCCCAUCCCUCAGGCCUGGUUGGCACACGGGAUGUGGGGCUGCGGUGCACGCUGACAGCCGCCCGCUGUUCCGCAGCCCUGGGAAACCAAGACUAACAGCACUUGGGGGAUGUGUUUAUGUCACAAGUGCUCUGAAAUAGCACAAUUACACAUUGUUGUUUUUUUCCCGCAUUAUGAGUAUUAACUGCCAACACCCACAGAAAUCUGGUGUAAUUAACUUCGUUCCUUAAGCGAGACCCUUCCCAUUGUCUGGGGGUACUUCUUACUGCGACCUGCUCCCCUCGGGCAGUCUCAGCACUGAGCCAUCCAGUCGCCGUGCAUGGUGGCACAGGCACUGAGGAGCUGUGCAGCAGUGAGAGUGCAGCUCCUCAUCUGAGCGACUGCAGCAUCGGUUGGAGGCGCAGGGCAGGGAGAGCAGACCCAUCCAAUCGCUAAUUGCAAACAGUGCUGGUGUAGAGAACGGUGUUUGUAAUUAUGAACAUAGCUAUUAAAAUAUCAUUUUGCUUUUUAGGCCGCCUGAUUCUAGCAUGGGGUAUGAAGGAGCUAUAUUUGAAGAAGUUUAUUAUUUCCAAUGCUUCGGAAAAAAAGGAAGUCUAAGCUGGAAAUGAAGCUCCUUUAUCACUUUUAAAGGCUGGUUUGCACUGAUUCUGCUCUGCCCCAGCACUGAGUGCAGCCCCAGCCCUCCCCAGGGAUGGAUGCUGCCCACACUGGCAGCUUGAGUGGGGGACAGAGGAAGGCCGUUGGGGUUUGUCUUUUUGCAGGUCGAACUGAAUGGGGUCUGCUUCUUCAGUAUGAAAACCAUGGAUUAAAACUGAAGUGAAAAUGGAUCGCUGUGUAUGUUACUAGUGGGUAAAAAGAAGUUGGGUUGUUUUUUUGUUUGUUUUUUUGGAUGGCAGAACUUUAAUUAUAAGAAGUACUGUAAAAAAUCUAGAUGGCAUAUUUACUCAUUUGGUCCGUACAACAGCCAGCAAAAUCAGCCCAUAUUGAUGGGAUACGCAGGAAGAAAUGUAUUAGUUUGCAGAGCACAGCAUUCCAGUGCAAGAUAGCAUUGAAAAAAACAAGUCAAUUCUUCCAUUAGUCAAAUUCCUGUUAAAUUAUCCAUACUUCCCAGUGAGCAAGUCCAUGGACCAGGUUCCUAUCAAUGUAUUGAUGGUGAAGGCUGGAUAUGCUGGUAUCUAAAAAACACCCACAGAAUGAAACCUGCCCCCAUCAUACAGCAUCGUUCCAGGGAUGGGGAAUGCCACAGAGCUCUGCAACCAGCAGACAAAAGUGUGGAUUUUGGAGGGGAGUGAUGCAGGAUGCAGAAUGGUGCAAAGGGAAGAGGCACAGGGAGUGACUGUGGAUGGGAGGAGAGCGUUUCUGUUGAGACCUUGUCAGUGUUUGGCAUAUGCAGGUCUGCCCUCCUCUGUUACCCGUGCACCCAUCAGCUCCUGGGAGUCACUUUGAUGAAGGAAUCAGAGGAAAAUUGGAAAAUACCUUCAGCUUGAGGCCUGAGUCAAGUGCUGUUAUUAAUAGCGUGUUUAAUUACGAGUGGCAUCUAAAUCAGGUGAGUCUGGGAAGGUAAGAUGAAGGGGGAAAAUUGCCGUAAGAGCCUCUGAUUAGCGAGUAAAACACAAUUAGCUGUUCUCAAAGAGCAGCAAAGCCCACACCUGAUGACCACCACCUGCAGCCCGGGCUGUGUGUCCUGCAGGUCUCCAUCCUCGUGGAGGUCCCAUAGCGGUGUGCAUGAGGUGUGGCAGCUUUUUGGGUGCCCUGGUGCAGGGCUGGGUGUCCCUGGGGCAGCUCCUUCCCUUUGCUGCAGGGAGGCACAGCAGCCAAACCUGGGCUGUGUGUUGGGUUAGAACAGCUGCAGUGCACACGCUCCAAGCUCUUGAGCAGAGUUGGUCUGUGCACCAAAUCCUUCCUAAGCCUCUUUCUUAGCAGGUGCCUGAAUUUCAGAGGUAUAAGGUGAGAUGCUGUGGGUCGGGAUCUCACUUCUUUCAGAUACUGGUAUUAUUACUACUUUAUCUAAUUGGAGCUCUGAAGUGAAAAAUACUCCUUCUUCUCUGACUUCGAGGUCUCAAUGAACAAUUUUUUCUGUUACAGUUCUCUGUUUCUGUGUAAUUUUAGCAUCAUACCAGGACAGGGAGCGUAACUUCAGGGAGCUGCUUUGACACACACUGCUCUGCCAUGGGGUUAACAGCAGACCCAGUGUACCAUAUCCCUGAUGGCAGCGUGCUCACUUGGCAGCAGCAAUCAGCUCCAUCCCAGCAGCUCCCAGCUAUCCCUGCUCCUCACAUCCACCGCCAAUGAGACUUCUGCUUUGCUCAGUGCAAUCAACAACUCCUUGUCUGUCAGUGGAUGAUGCUUUUCUGCAGUUAUUUCUAGGGUCCCGUGCUGCACGGUGGCUGCCUGGCAGUGGGAGUGGGAGAGCAGACAGAGAGGUGUGGGACAGAGACCCACAGUCAGCUGAACAUCCUUUUCUGCCCAUGCAGGAAUCAAAGCUUUUAGUGUUAUUCAAAGUCAGCAUCACACACAGAAGAAAUAGUUGGCUGCUGCAAUCAGCAGUGAUGAACAAUCAUUAUGAGGUGCAAAAGGAGCAUUGUUAAUAGGAGGCUACAUCUCCAGGUCAGUUUGACUGCACGAUUUUAUGAGCUUAAAGACCUACACACCUCAACUUCAAGAAUUAUUUACUCCCAAGAUAUUUACCUCUUCCACUUCUUUCUGAAAAUCAUAAUAAUAGCAGUAACUCUGUUCUGCAUUCCAGGCAUAAGCUGAAGAACAGGAGGAAAAGCAAAGCAAGAGAUUCCCAUGUUGAGACCAUGGAGCGCAGGAAGCUGCAGUGCUGUGCAGCCAUCUGAACUCAGAGUGAUGUUUGACCUCAGAUGAUGAACAGCAGCUUUGCCUUCUUGCUGUGCAAUGCCAGAUCACCAGAAAAGACCUUAGCUAAUACUUGUAAUGAUAUCGUGGCUCAGAUUGGGUGUACGAGCAUGUUGUAUGCUGCUUAACAGCAGAAGGUGAUGGGAUUCGAUGGAGAUACAUGUCUGUAUUUCCUAACCUUCAGCAGGAACAGCAAAGAACUCUUGUUCCAAGAAGGAAUUCAGAAUAUCUCCUCCGCGUUCUACCUCUGCAUGCUGAGACAGAGUGAGAACUGCAGUCAUGGAGUGAGAAGACUCACAGAAGAGGUCAGUGCUUACCAUAACAACAGCGGUGCACUUUUGCAGGGCUGUGGUAUUUUCCAGGGUGUUGUAGUUGGGCAUUCCCUGCACAAAGCAUGAAGGACCGUGCCAUGCUGACAUGCUGACAAGGCAGCCUCUGUCCCGGUCUCACAGGCAGCACUGUGAGCUGGAGUUGCCUUUAGCCGUCAGAUACAUCAGCUUGAUAAUCUGUGCAAAGGUGUGUGGUUGGUACACCCCAUCUGUCUGAGUUCUACAACAAGUCCCUGUUUGCAUCAAAUUCUGGACUGCUCGCGUCCCUCUCUGACUACACUGGAGAACAGCUGAGGUCCCUCUCACUGAACGCUGCUUCCCAAGGGCUGAAUUCGGAUGAGAAAACCACUGUAACAUUGGCUCCUACUAUUCAGUGGGAAUAACCAGAGCCAGGUGAGCACGGAUUCUGUGGCACAUAUUGAAUGCCUGGAGACCAACAACAGAGCUCCUGGAAUGGAAUUCCUCCAUUCCAGGUGGUCCACUGCAACAAAUAAUGGACUCAACAAAAAGAACAGUUAUAAGAAUAAAGGAGAAAGAGUGAUUUGUAUUUGGAGGAAUUACGAGUGUGACUUCAUUCAGAACCAGCCCAGCACACGUGCAGAACUCCCUAAGUGCAGUUCAGAGCAUUGCGUCCUCUGAUCAGAUGGUUUGGUGAGUGCCGUAAGUAAGCAGGCGGUGUUGUUCCUGAGCCCUGAGAUUUGUCACUUCGGCUACAUCUUUCUGAUCUGUGACGGAGUGUUUUCUGCUGGAGAACAGGAAUGCUAAAUAAGGCAUCAAUAAUGCAAGAGAUCCGUGAAUAAUCACCCGAGUGCUUGAAAACGAGUGGACAGUGUGAUCAUAUGGUAGAAGAAAAAUAACGUUAGCUGCAUAUUUAUCAACGCCUGGUGCCAUUAGCACAGGGUCUGGCAAUAGCUCAAGGCUUCUAGGAGACAGUGCACACAGUGCUUUGGUGCCCAAUGCUACAGGAGGAGGGCACAUCCCCAGAGCAGGGAGCUUGUUUGGGCCCGGCCAGUCUGUGGCUGGAUGGGGUAAUGGAUGGGGAUGGCAGACAGCACCCUUCGUGUGUUUGUCCUAUGCUGCUGCAUUUUAGCCCCGUCUCUCACUGCACCAACGUGUCUAUCUUAAAAAGGACUUCUGAGUGCAAACAUUUGAUCCUGGGAGCAAGCAGAGUCAUUGGAAACUGUACCAGAAAGAACUGCCCCUGUCCCGCAGCUGUGUUGGAGUCACUCUCGGACAGCCUGCACUUCUGGUAGCUUUGGAACUGAGCUCUUUUGGGGCUGAAUGAGAGGGGCCCAACAGCUCCAUCAGGAGAAAAAUGGCUGCGGGAAGUACAGAGUGCGUGUCAACGUGUGUCUAACGAGAGCUGAUGGGAAAUGCAGGACCGUGAACAGAUGCAAUGGAAUGGCAUCCUGUGGGAGGAGGCAGGUCCAGCCGCACACGGCACUGCCACGGGGUACAGGAACGAGUUAAUGCCACUGGGGGACGGCUGAGAACAGCGACAUUGUUGUUCCCUGAUGUCAGCCCAGAAACCCAAACACAAAGAGGUGAAUGUAGUGCUAUGAGAGGGCCCUUGAGAGAGCUGAAUGCUGGGCCUGUGCCGGGGCACCCAGCAGAAUUAGAAACGGCAGGGGAUGACCAAGUGUUUCCUGGAAGCAGGGGCUGCAGGCAGCUGUCGGCAGGCAGGGCUGUGUGCGUGGGGCACUGCUGGCUGCAGUGGUACAAGCAGGCAGUGUCGGUAGGCUUGAGGAGAUCCACGUCCACGAGGGACUCCUGUUUUACUUUAUAGCUCAGCGUAAGGCGUCUCGUUUCCUCCUGUAGGAUGCACAUGUCGAGCCCUUCUGCAUAAUUCAGUGUUGCAUUUGGUGGGUGGUGCUCUGGGGGAUAUUUAGAUGGAGCGACAGUAGAGACAUUGCUUCGCUUCUGUACAAACUGCACAUCAGAUCUUCUACGUGUAACGUGGGGAAAAAAAGACAGAGAUCUGCUGGAAGGAGUCCGGUGGAGGGCCACAACGAUGAUAGAAGGCCUGGAGCAUCUUCCCUGUGAGGAAAGGCUGAGAGACCCCAGGUUCAGCCCGGGGAAAAGGAGGCCGAGAUGGGAUCUGUUUAUGUUUAUGAACAUGAAGGGAGGCGGGAGCCAAAAGGAUGAGGCCAGGCUCUUCUUGGUGGUGCGCAGCAAUAGGACGAGAAGCAACGGCCUAACACUUGUUGUAGGAAGUUUCAAGCUAACAUGUGGAAGAACUUUAUGUAAGGGUGAGGGAGCACCCUGCAGAUCUGUACGGAAAGUCUGAGACUAAACGCUGACAGAGACGUA